rnacentral:ncRNA from 1 species
UCUCGUCGGGGUGCUCAUUUUCCAACGCAAAGGAAUUGAGCUGAGAAGCCGUUGCUAACCCGCAGAACCUGAUCCGGCUAAUACCGGCGGAGGAAAUUGAG